rnacentral:rRNA from 1 species
UACAGAGGUCUCAAGCGUUGUUCGGAUUCAUUGGGCGUAAAGGGUGUGUAGGUGGCGCCGUAAGUCGGGUGUGAAAUUUCGGAGCUUAACUCCGAAACUGCAUUCGAUACUGCGGUGCUUGAGGACUGGAGAGGAGACUGGAAUUUACGGUGUAGCUGUGAAAUGCGUAGAUAUCGUAAGGAAGACCAGUGGCGAAGGCGGGUCUCUGGACAGUUCCUGACGCUGAGGCACGAAGGCCAGGGGAGCAAACGGG